ensembl:lincRNA
AUAUUUGGGGAAUAUAGGAUAAAGGCCACAGAGGCAUAUAGAGCAUGGGGCUGGGCUGGAAAUGACUCAAGUCCUAAUGAGGUUUCCAACUUUCCCAGAUGCAGUAGCAACACUUUUCCACAAGAGGGCAGUAAACACAAGGCUACCAGGCCCAACCCCUACACAGGCCUGAUACAGCCAGGGGAGUCCACUGCGGAGAGUGUUUGUUUCUUUUAUUGUGGCUGCCGCAUUAAUCUCCGACCACUUGUGCCACAGCAGGCUGAUGCAAAGAUCUAAUGGAUGGUUCCCUUGCAACUUCCAGUAGAAUGCGGGAACGGGCGUUUAGCCAUCUAUCUCUUUGUCCAGCCUAUAUUUAUUGAGUGUCUACUCUAAUAUAGCUCUGUGCUGUCUGGGAGGCAAGGGAGGACCAUGCAGGAUAUGCAGGCUGGCACACUCUAGUGCAUGUGUGGAAAGAUGCCUCAAGUCUAGGAGGCCCCGAGUUUGUCUGGGAGCCAGGAGGACAUCUUGGAGGAGGUGACAUCGGAAGUCAAGGCUUUUCUGGAGAGCAGAUACUCCCAGCUCUGAAGGAUGGCUUCCACUUUCCUGCCUCAGGGGAAGCCAGGCAUACCUCUUUUCAAGUCCAAACAGAGACUUUGUGGCCCUGGAUUGGUCUUCUAAUGUGUUCUCAGUCUGCAAGGUUUUGGGCUGCCAGGCAUGAUAGCCAGUGGAUUUAUAGAGGUAGCUGUACCCUCAGGACGACACAGGGGAGCUUCUCACAACCCCAGGAGACAGCCCAGCUCGGGGUCCUCCCUCCCAAAGGAUCCAAGCACACACACCAAGCUCCCUCUAUGCCCAUUAACAGAAAGAACUGCUUCCUAGAAAGGACGGCCACGUCACCACUUCCCUCCCCUUCUGCUUCUGGUUGCAAUAAUCUUUGUUGAUUACGAAGGAGAAAAUGCAUUCACAUCUGUCCUUGAUCUGCUAAGUCAAGAAGGGCACAGAAACGCGCUGCACAAAGCACUCUGGCGACCCUCCCGAAAGCCAGUUCCCAUCCAUCGACUGCGGGCUAGCAGGAACUCCCUUACAUGUGUUUUUGAUGCCGAGAUUGUAACAUUUGACUUUCUUCUCCUGCUCCGAAG